rnacentral:pre_miRNA from 1 species
AUACUACUCCGUCCGAUCCAUAUUACUAGUUGCUGUUUUGUGAUACGCAUGUAUCUAGAUGUGUUUCAUUGUGUAGGUACAUGCGUAUCUAGACAAAACUGCGACAAGUAACAUGAAUCGGAGGGAGUACCAA